rnacentral:rRNA from 1 species
AACGAACGCUGGCGGCAGGCUUAACACAUGCAAGUCGAGCGCCCCGCAAGGGGAGCGGCAGACGGGCGAGUAACGCGUGGGAAUCUACCCAUCUCUACGGAAUAACGCAUGGAAACGUGUGCUAAUACCGUAUACGUCCUUCGGGGGAAAGAUUUAUCGGAGUUGGAAGAGCCCGCUUUGGAUUAGCUAGUUGGUGGGGUAAAGGCCUACCAAGGCGACGAUGCAUAGCUGGUCUGAGAGGAUGAUCAGCCACACUGGGACUUAGACACGGCCCAGACUCCUACGGGAGGCAGCAGUGGGGAAUAUUGGAUAAUGGGCGCAAGCCUGAUCCAGCCAUGCCGCGUGAGUGAUGAAGGCCCUAGGGUUGUAAAGCUCUUUCACCGGUGAAGAUAAUGACGGUAACCGGAGAAGAAGCCCCGGCUAACUUCGUGCCAGCAGCCGCGGUAAUAC